UGGCGGACGGGUGAGUAAUGUCUGGGAAACUGCCCGAUGGAGGGGGGUAACUACUGGAAACGGUAGCUAAUACCGCAUAAUGUCUACGGACCAAAGCGGGGGACCUCCGGGCCUCGCGCCAUCAGAUGAACCCAUAUGGGAUUAGCUAGUAGGUAAGGUAACGGCUUACCUAGGCGACGAUCCCUAGCUGGUCUGAGAGGAUGACCAGCCACACUGGAACUGAGACACGGUCCAG
rnacentral:rRNA from 1 species